UACGUAGGGUGCGAGCGUUAAUCGGAAUUACUGGGCGUAAAGCGUGCGCAGGCGGUGCGCCAAGCUCGAUGUGAAAGCCCCGGGCUUAACCUGGGAAUUGCAUUGAGGACUGGCGUGCUCGAGUGCGGCAGAGGGGGGUGGAAUUCCACGUGUAGCAGUGAAAUGCGUAGAGAUGUGGAGGAACACCGAUGGCGAAGGCAGCCCCCUGGGCCGACACUGACGCUCAUGCACGAAAGCGUGGGGAGCAAACAGGAUUAGAAACCCCCGUAGUCC
rnacentral:rRNA from 1 species